rnacentral:rRNA from 1 species
UUGUGGUCUUGGUGGCGGCAGUGGGGGUGAUAAGGAGUGGGCAAGUGUUAAGGGGUGUUAGUGUGCGUACAGGAUGGCGUGGGGGUUCGUGAAGUCGGUAGUGAGUGCCACGGGAUGUAGCUGGGAAUGGUGAUGGUGACUGGCUAGCUAGAGUGUGUCAGAGGAUGGUGGAAUUCCCGGUGGAGCGGUGAAAUGCGUAGAGAUCGGGAGGAACAUCAGUGGCGAAGGCGGCCAUCUGGGACAACACUGACGCUGAAGCACGAAAGCGUGGGGAGCAAACAGGAUUAGAUACCCUAUAGUC